UUGAGACGGCGUUUGAUGGAAGCAAAGUUGGAAUUGAGCCAUUCGCUGUUGAGGUCUCACCGAGCGGCGACCUUCUGGUGUUGGACCCUGCUAACAGUAACAUGUACAGGAUAUCACCGCCGCUGUCACGAUGUACGUUGUUUGACUGUGAGAGUUCAAAUCACUUCAGCCUUUUGAUGCCACUUGUGCUAGGAGUAGACCAUACAGAAGAUUUGUUUUUAUUUAUUUAUAUUCAAGACCAUUUUCAAUUUAUUGUAAUAAAUAUUAUAUAUAUUUUUUUAUUGUGUAGUAAUAUAAAUUUUGUUUAAUAUUCAGUUUUAUUUGUAUUGCAUCAUU